UACGAAGGGGGCUAGCGUUGCUCGGAAUCACUGGGCUUAAAGGGCGCGUAGGCGGCCUCUUUGGUCGUGGGUGAAAUCCCCCAGCUUAACUGGGGAAGGGCCUACGAUACCGGGGGGCUCGAGGGAGGAAGGGGCGGUCGGAACUGUCGGUGGAGCGGUGAAAUGCGUUGAUAUCGACAGGAACGCCGGUGGCGAAAGCGGACCGCUGGCCCUCUUCUGACGCUGAGGCGCGAAAGCCAGGGGAGCGAACGGG
rnacentral:rRNA from 1 species